GCCCCCAUAGCCCAAUUGGCAGAGGCAGCCGACUUAAAAUCGGUAUGUUGCGGGUUCGAGUCCCGCUGGGGGCA
rnacentral:tRNA from 2 species